rnacentral:rRNA from 1 species
CGGCUUCCUAAUACAUGCAAGUCCGAGCGGGGUUUUUCCUUCGAGAUAAGCUAGCGGCGGGCGGGGUGAGUAACAACGUAGGUAACCUGCCUUUAAGACUGGGAUAACUAUCGGAAACGAUAGCUAAGACCCGGAUAACUGGUUUUCUCGCAUGAGAGAAUCAUAAAACACGGAGCAAUCUGUGGGUUAAAGAUGGGGCCUGCGGCGCAUUAGCUAGUUGGUGAGGUAACGGCUCACCAAGGCGACGAUGCGUAGCCGACCUGAGAGGGUGAACGGCCACACUGGGACUGAGACACGGCCCAGACUCAUACGGGAGGCAGCAGUAGGGAAUCUUCCGCAAUGGACGCAAGUCUGACGGAGCAACGCCGCGUGAGUGAUGAAGGUUUUCGGAUCGUAAAGCUCUGUUGCCCUAGACGAACAGCAAGGAGAGUAACUGCUCUUUGUGUGACGGUAUAGGAGAAGAAAGCCCCGGCUAACUACGUGCCAGCAGCCGCGGUAAUACGUAGGGGGCAAGCGUUGUCCGGAAUUAUUGGGCGUAAAGCGCGCGCAGGCGGUCAUUUAAGUCUGGUGUUUAAGCCCGGGGCUCAACCCCGGUUCGCAUCGGAAACUGGACGACUUGAGUGUAAGAGAGGAAAGUGGAAUUCCACGUGUAGCGGUGAAAUGCGUAGAGAUGUGGAGGAACACCAGUGGCGAAGGCGACUUUCUGGCUUAUAACUGACGCUGAGGCGCGAAAGCGUGGGGAGCAAACAGGAUUAGAUACCCUGGUUUUUCCCCCCCUAAAAAAAGCAUACUCGCUGUCGGGGAUUC